rnacentral:rRNA from 1 species
CCUACGGGAGGCAGCAGUGGGGAAUAUUGCACAAUGGGGGAAACCCUGAUGCAGCGACGCCGCGUGAGUGAAGACGUCUUUCGGUAUGUUAAGCUCUAUCAGCAGGGAAGCAGCAAGACGGUACCUGACUAAGAAGCCACGGCUAACUACGUGCCAGCAGCCGCGGUAAUACGUAGGGGGCAAGCGUUAUCCGGAUUUUCUGGGUGUAAAGGGAGCGUAGGCGGUAUGGCAAGUCUGAAGUGAAAGCCCAGGGCUUAACCCUGGGACUGCUUUGGCAACUGGUAGACUAGAGUGCUGGAGAGGUAAGUGGAAUGCGUGGUGUAGCGGUGAAAUGCGUAGAUAUGAGGAGGAACACCAGUGGCGAAGGCGGCUUACUGGACAGUAACUGACGUUGAGGCUCGAAAGCGUGGGGAUCAAACAGGAUUAGAUACCCGUGUAGUC